AAUAUCUUUUCCUGAACAAUUUACUCUUUUUUUUAGUUGGUGCCACAGGGACAAGAGAUGGAAGAUAUUUAUCAUCGGGCUGGUGACAGCUGAAGACGUAGCUGUCAAACAUAAAUUUCUUUUAUUAGCAGUAUGACUGAUGAAAUCUGUACUUAUAUGAAAUGAAGUAUGUUAAUGGUAAGUAACCUUCCUUCUUGAUUUUUGAUAGUUCGCGUUUUAAUUGUUGUGGUGAAAAAUUCAAAUAUAAUUGUUGAGGAAGUUUUCCUGCACUGUUUGUCAGUAGUGGUUAAUACAAAAGGUGGAAGAUAUUUAUCAGUGGACUGGUAAUAGCUGAAGACAGAGCUACAUGACAUAAAUUUCUAUCAUUAGCAAGAUGACUGAUGUCAAAUGAAGUUGGACGAAAUGAAAUGUCUUAGAGUUCAGUAAUCAUUUUUCAAUAUUCUUGAUAGUUUGCUUGAUAAUUAUGUGUUUUACUGAAAAAUUAUAUUGUUAUUGUUGAGGAAUUUUUUCUACAUUGUUUUUCUAGUUGAUGUGGGGAAUCCAAGUGAUGGAAGAUAUUUAUCUACAGGCUAGUGAUAGUUGAAGGCAUGGUUACGAAAGUUGGAACAUUUUAUCAACAUUUUGGUGACAGCUGAAGUUAUAUAAUAUCAAAUGUUGAUGUACAAUUAUUGAAUAAAGUUUUUCAAUUUAAAAACAAUCUUUUCCUCAAUGAAGUUGCACGAAAUGAAAUGUCUUAGAGUUCAGUGGACUGGUAAUAGCUGAAGACAGAGCUACAUGACAUAAAUUUCUAUCAUUAGCAAGAUGACUGAUGUCAAAUGAAGUUGGACGAAAUGAAAUGUCUUAGAGUUCAGUUAUCAUUUUUCAAUAUUCUUGAUAGUUCGCUUGAUAAUUAUGUGUUUUACUGAAAAAUUAUAUUGUUAUUGUUGAGGAAUUUUUUCUACAUUGUUUUUCUAGUUGAUGUGGGGAAUCCAAGAGAUGGAAGAUAUUUAUCUACAGGCUAGUGAUAGUUGAAGGCAUGGUUACGAGAGUUGGAACAUUUUGUCAACAUUUUGGUGACAGCUGAAGUUAUAUAAUAUCAAAUGUUGAUGUACAAUUAUUGAAUAAAGUUUUUCAAUUUAAAAACAAACUUUUCCUCAAGAAUUGAGUUUGAAAUGUUCCGUAAAAGAUAAAUAGUUGUUUUCUGUCAGUUCACGCCAUAAUUUUAAGAGAUAGAAGAUAUUUACCAUCGGGCUGAUGACAGCUGAAGAUGCAUCUGUCAAGAAUACAUUUGUUUCGUUAGUAACAUGGCUGAUGAUAUCUAGAUUGACUUGAAAUCAUGCUGGAUGAUUAAUUACUAAAUAAAAAUUUCUUAUUUUUAAAUAUCUUCUCCUGAACAAUUUACUCUUUCUUUAAUUGGUGUGCCACAGGGACAAGAGAUGGAAGAUAUUUAUCAUCGGGCUGGUGACAGCUGAAGACGUAGCUGUCAAACAUAAAUUUCUUUUAUUAGCAGUAUGACUGAUGAAAUCUGUACUUAUAUGAAAUGAAGUAUGUUAAUGGUAAGUAACCCUCCUUCUUGAUUUUUGAUAGUUCACGUUUUAAUUGUUGUGGUGAAAAAUUCAAUUAUAAUUGUUGAGGAAGUUUUUCUGCACUGUUUGUCAGUAGGAUUGGGCAAUACAAAAGGUGGAAGAUAUUUAUCAGUGGACUGGUAAUAGCUGAAGACAGAGCUACAUGACAUAAAUUUCUAUCAUUAGCAAGAUGACUGAUGUCAAAUGAAGUUGCACGAAAUGAAAUGUCUUAGACUUCAGUAAUCAUUUUUCAAUAUUGUUGAUAGUUAGCUUUAUAAUUGUGUGUUUUACUGAAAAAUUAUAUUGUUCUUGUUGAGGAAUCUUUUCUACAUUGUUUUUCUAGUUGAUGUGGGGAAUCCAAGAGUUGGAAGAUAUUUAUCUACAGGCUAGUGAUAGUUGAAGGCAUGGUUACGAAAGUUGGAACAUUUUAUCAACAUUUUGGUGACAGCUGAAGUUAUAUAAUAUCAAGUGUUGAUGUACAAUUAUUGAAUAAAGCUUUUCAAUUGAAAAACAAUCUUUCCUUCAAGAAUUGAGUUUGAAAUGUUUCGUAAAAAAAUAAAUAGUUGUUUUCUGUCAGUUCACGCCAUAAUUUCAAGAGAUAGAAGAUAUUUACCAUCGGGCUGGUGACAGCUGAAGAUGCAGCUGUGAACCAUACAUUUUGUUCGUUACUAAAAUGGGUGAUGACAUCUGGAUUGACUGGAAAUCAUGCUGGAUGGUUGAUCACUAUAUAAAGAUUUCUUAUUUUGAAAUAUCUUCUCCUGAACAAUUUAUUCUUUCUUUAAUUGGUGUGCCACAGGGACAAGAGAUGGAAGAUAUUUAUCAUCAGGCUGGUGACAGCUGAAGACGUAGCUGUCAAACAUAAAUUUCUUUUAUUAGCAGUAUGACUGAUGAAAUCUGUACUUGUAUCAAAUGAAGUAUGUUAAUGGUAAGUAACCUUCCUUCUUGAUUUUUGAUAGUUCACGUUUUAAUUGUGGUGAAAAAUUCAAUUAUAAUUGUUGAGGAAGUUUUUCUGCACUGUUUGUCAGUAGGAUUGGGCAAUACAAAAGGUGGAAGAUAUUUAUCAGUGGACUGGUAAUAGCUGAAGACAGAGCUACAUGACAUAAAUUUCUAUCAUUAGCAAGAUGACUGAUGUCAAAUGAAGUUGCACGAAAUGAAAUGUCUUAGAGUUCAGUAAUCAUUUUUCAAUAUUCUUGAUAGUUCGCUUUAUAAUUCUGUGUUUUACUGAAAAAUUGUAUUGUUAUUGUUGAGGAAUCUUUUCUACAUUGUUUUUCUAGUUGAUGUGGGGAAUCCAAGUGAUGGAAGAUAUUUAUCUACAGGCUAGUGAUAGUUGAAGGCAUGGUUACGAAAGUUGGAACAUUUUAUCAACAUUUUGGUGACAGCUGAAGUUAUAUAAUAUCAAAUGUUGAUGUACAAUUAUUGAAUAAAGCUUUUCAAUUUAAAAACAAUCUUUUCCUCAAGAAUUGAGUUUGAAAUGUUCCGUAAAAAAAUAAAUAGUGGUUUUCUGUCAGUUCACGCCAUAAUUUCAAGAGAUAGAAGAUAUUUAUCAUCGGGCUGGUGACAGCUGAAGAUGCAGCUGUGAACCAUACAUUUUUUUCGUUACUAAGAAGGCUGAUGACAUCUGGAUUGACUGGAACUCAUGCUCGAUGGUUAAUUACUAAAUAAAAAUUUCUUAUUUUGAAAUAUAUUUUCCUGAACAAUUUACUCUUUCUUUUAGUUGGUGCUACAGGGACAGAAGAUGGAAGAUAUUUAUCAUCGGGCUGGUGACAGCUGAAGAUGCAUCUGUCAAGCAUACAUUUGUUUCGUUAGUAAGAUGGCUGAUGAUAUCUGGAUUGACUUGAAAUCAUGCUGGAUGGUUAAUUACUAAAUAAAAAUUUCUUAUUUUUAAAUAUCUUUUCCUGAACAAUUUACCCUUUUCUUCAGUUGAUGCCACAAUGACAAGAGAUGGAAGAUAUUUACCAUCGGGCUGGUGACAGCUGAAGAUGCAGCUGUGAACCAUACAUUUAUUUUGUUAGUUAGAUUGCGGAUGACAUCUGGACUGACGUGAAAUCAUGCUGGAUGGUUAAUUACUAAAUAAAAAAUGUUUAUUUUGAAAUAUCUUUUCCUGAACAAUUUACUCUUUUUUUUAGUUGGUGCCACAGGGACAAGAGAUGGAAGAUAUUUAUCAUCGGGCUGGUGACAGCUGAAGACGUAGCUGUCAAACAUAAAUUUCUUUUAUUAGCAGUAUGACUGAUGAAAUCUGUACUUAUAUGAAAUGAAGUAUGUUAAUGGUAAGUAACCUUCCUUCUUGAUUUUUGAUAGUUCGCGUUUUAAUUGUUGUGGUGAAAAAUUCAAAUAUAAUUGUUGAGGAAGUUUUCCUGCACUGUUUGUCAGUAGUGGUUAAUACAAAAGGUGGAAGAUAUUUAUCAGUGGACUGGUAAUAGCUGAAGACAGAGCUACAUGACAUAAAUUUCUAUCAUUAGCAAGAUGACUGAUGUCAAAUGAAGUUGGACGAAAUGAAAUGUCUUAGAGUUCAGUUAUCAUUUUUCAAUAUUCUUGAUAGUUCGCUUGAUAAUUAUGUGUUUUACUGAAAAAUUAUAUUGUUAUUGUUGAGGAAUUUUUUCUACAUUGUUUUUCUAGUUGAUGUGGGGAAUCCAAGAGAUGGAAGAUAUUUAUCUACAGGCUAGUGAUAGUUGAAGGCAUGGUUACGAGAGUUGGAACAUUUUGUCAACAUUUUGGUGACAGCUGAAGUUAUAUAAUAUCAAAUGUUGAUGUACAAUUAUUGAAUAAAGUUUUUCAAUUUAAAAACAAACUUUUCCUCAAGAAUUGAGUUUGAAAUGUUCCGUAAAAGAUAAAUAGUUGUUUUCUGUCAGUUCACGCCAUAAUUUUAAGAGAUAGAAGAUAUUUACCAUCGGGCUGAUGACAGCUGAAGAUGCAUCUGUCAAGAAUACAUUUGUUUCGUUAGUAACAUGGCUGAUGAUAUCUAGAUUGACUUGAAAUCAUGCUGGAUGAUUAAUUACUAAAUAAAAAUUUCUUAUUUUUAAAUAUCUUCUCCUGAACAAUUUACUCUUUCUUUAAUUGGUGUGCCACAGGGACAAGAGAUGGAAGAUAUUUAUCAUCGGGCUGGUGACAGCUGAAGACGUAGCUGUCAAACAUAAAUUUCUUUUAUUAGCAGUAUGACUGAUGAAAUCUGUACUUAUAUGAAAUGAAGUAUGUUAAUGGUAAGUAACCCUCCUUCUUGAUUUUUGAUAGUUCACGUUUUAAUUGUUGUGGUGAAAAAUUCAAUUAUAAUUGUUGAGGAAGUUUUUCUGCACUGUUUGUCAGUAGGAUUGGGCAAUACAAAAGGUGGAAGAUAUUUAUCAGUGGACUGGUAAUAGCUGAAGACAGAGCUACAUGACAUAAAUUUCUAUCAUUAGCAAGAUGACUGAUGUCAAAUGAAGUUGCACGAAAUGAAAUGUCUUAGACUUCAGUAAUCAUUUUUCAAUAUUGUUGAUAGUUAGCUUUAUAAUUGUGUGUUUUACUGAAAAAUUAUAUUGUUCUUGUUGAGGAAUCUUUUCUACAUUGUUUUUCUAGUUGAUGUGGGGAAUCCAAGAGUUGGAAGAUAUUUAUCUACAGGCUAGUGAUAGUUGAAGGCAUGGUUACGAAAGUUGGAACAUUUUAUCAACAUUUUGGUGACAGCUGAAGUUAUAUAAUAUCAAGUGUUGAUGUACAAUUAUUGAAUAAAGCUUUUCAAUUGAAAAACAAUCUUUCCUUCAAGAAUUGAGUUUGAAAUGUUUCGUAAAAAAAUAAAUAGUUGUUUUCUGUCAGUUCACGCCAUAAUUUCAAGAGAUAGAAGAUAUUUACCAUCGGGCUGGUGACAGCUGAAGAUGCAGCUGUGAACCAUACAUUUUGUUCGUUACUAAAAUGGGUGAUGACAUCUGGAUUGACUGGAAAUCAUGCUGGAUGGUUGAUCACUAUAUAAAGAUUUCUUAUUUUGAAAUAUCUUCUCCUGAACAAUUUAUUCUUUCUUUAAUUGGUGUGCCACAGGGACAAGAGAUGGAAGAUAUUUAUCAUCAGGCUGGUGACAGCUGAAGACGUAGCUGUCAAACAUAAAUUUCUUUUAUUAGCAGUAUGACUGAUGAAAUCUGUACUUGUAUCAAAUGAAGUAUGUUAAUGGUAAGUAACCUUCCUUCUUGAUUUUUGAUAGUUCACGUUUUAAUUGUGGUGAAAAAUUCAAUUAUAAUUGUUGAGGAAGUUUUUCUGCACUGUUUGUCAGUAGGAUUGGGCAAUACAAAAGGUGGAAGAUAUUUAUCAGUGGACUGGUAAUAGCUGAAGACAGAGCUACAUGACAUAAAUUUCUAUCAUUAGCAAGAUGACUGAUGUCAAAUGAAGUUGCACGAAAUGAAAUGUCUUAGAGUUCAGUAAUCAUUUUUCAAUAUUCUUGAUAGUUCGCUUUAUAAUUCUGUGUUUUACUGAAAAAUUGUAUUGUUAUUGUUGAGGAAUCUUUUCUACAUUGUUUUUCUAGUUGAUGUGGGGAAUCCAAGUGAUGGAAGAUAUUUAUCUACAGGCUAGUGAUAGUUGAAGGCAUGGUUACGAAAGUUGGAACAUUUUAUCAACAUUUUGGUGACAGCUGAAGUUAUAUAAUAUCAAAUGUUGAUGUACAAUUAUUGAAUAAAGCUUUUCAAUUUAAAAACAAUCUUUUCCUCAAGAAUUGAGUUUGAAAUGUUCCGUAAAAAAAUAAAUAGUGGUUUUCUGUCAGUUCACGCCAUAAUUUCAAGAGAUAGAAGAUAUUUAUCAUCGGGCUGGUGACAGCUGAAGAUGCAGCUGUGAACCAUACAUUUUUUUCGUUACUAAGAAGGCUGAUGACAUCUGGAUUGACUGGAACUCAUGCUCGAUGGUUAAUUACUAAAUAAAAAUUUCUUAUUUUGAAAUAUAUUUUCCUGAACAAUUUACUCUUUCUUUUAGUUGGUGCUACAGGGACAGAAGAUGGAAGAUAUUUAUCAUCGGGCUGGUGACAGCUGAAGAUGCAUCUGUCAAGCAUACAUUUGUUUCGUUAGUAAGAUGGCUGAUGAUAUCUGGAUUGACUUGAAAUCAUGCUGGAUGGUUAAUUACUAAAUAAAAAUUUCUUAUUUUUAAAUAUCUUUUCCUGAACAAUUUACCCUUUUCUUCAGUUGAUGCCACAAUGACAAGAGAUGGAAGAUAUUUACCAUCGGGCUGGUGACAGCUGAAGAUGCAGCUGUGAACCAUACAUUUAUUUUGUUAGUUAGAUUGCGGAUGACAUCUGGACUGACGUGAAAUCAUGCUGGAUGGUUAAUUACUAAAUAAAAAAUGUUUAUUUUGAAAUAUCUUUUCCUGAACAAUUUACUCUUUUUUUUAGUUGGUGCCACAGGGACAAGAGAUGGAAGAUAUUUAUCAUCGGGCUGGUGACAGCUGAAGACGUAGCUGUCAAACAUAAAUUUCUUUUAUUAGCAGUAUGACUGAUGAAAUCUGUACUUAUAUCAAAUGAAGUAUGUUAAUGUUGAUGCCACAAUGACAAGAGAUGGAAGAUAUUUAUCAUCGGGCUGGUGACAGCUGAAGACAUAGCUGUCGGACAUAAAUUUCUUUCAUUACCAGUAUGACUUACGACAUCUGUACUUCAUGAAAUGAGGCAUUUUAAUUUUGACGUGGGGAAUCGAAGAGAUGGAAGAUACUUAUCUACAGGCUAGUGGCAGUUGAAGGCAU